rnacentral:lncRNA from 1 species
UAAAUACUUGCUAAAAUGCUUGACAAAUUUUUUGAAAAGUUAUCUGGCUUAAAAUAUGGCUGGGUUUGCCCAUCCCUUUAAGAGACCAGCUGUUGAUGUAUCAUUAAAGGCCAAAAAAAAAAAAAAAAAAGUCAAUUCAGCUGUGUCUGUAACCAGGCGUGUCAUAUGUAGACACUUAUACCGUGGGAGGUCACUUUAUGUGGGUUUGCAUUGACAAAAAAAGAAAGGUGUCAAACUCCAGUAGCAAAGAUAUAAACUUGUAUCAGUAGGAGAGAUAUUUACAGAACACAGCACAUUCUUUUCAAAGCAUACAUUUUUGGAAUGGCAACAAUGAAGAAUUCCGUCUCCAUGGAGAACCCAUUUAUACGCCUUGUGGGGCUGGCAAAUGUUCCAAAUCUGCCACUAUGAAAUAAUUGGCAGCGAGGAUGGGAAAAAGAAAAACCUCAUCUUAAUGCGAAUGACUUACCAGGAAAUAAAACACAGGACCUCAGAUGAGUGGGCGUUCUCCAUAGCAAACCCUGCCCACUUAACAGUUUUGCCAAGAUAUGGUCCAGAUACAGGCAUCUGAGGAUUCAUCCUGUUUUGGAGAGACUAUCCCCCAGUGUGCGUCUUGGGGAGAGGAAAUGUUCCUUAUCCAAAUAAGUCCUUACCUCUGGUUUGGCUUUCACAGUGAAGCCAAACCAGGACAGCUUGUUACACAGAGUCUGGAAAGCAGCCCUUCAUGUUGGGAUUCUGGAAUUGUGUCACUGACGAGUCAGAUUUCCAUAAGGAAAACAUACUUGGUUCUUUGCAUUAUUGGUAACCAUGUCUGCUGUGCUUUGGAAUAA